UCCAAAACUUCUGACAGAAUGGUUGAGAUGAGCACAAUUUAAGGAGAAUUCGAAGAAGAUGUUUCCCCCAUUUUUGACUUCUUCGGCUUUCUGUUCUCAGGUUCUCACCCCUACAAUGCCCUCCACUAUCCCUCCUGUUUCUCGCUAUUAGGGCAUUCACCGGAGGCCUCUGUUUCGCUCUAGCAGCGGCGUGGCGUUCAAAUUUUUUGUUUGCUCGUGGUAGCCCUGUAUAGCCCCUCGUGACAUCUAAGAAGGUUCUAAAGAAUAACUAAAAUAAUGACGGAGAAUCAGAUGAAUGAGGAUGUUUUUUCAGUAAAACCAUCGAAACCUAAGAUCCUCAUUGCUGCUUCUGGAAGUGUAGCCGCAAUUAAGUUCCAAGCUCUUUGCUGCUCUUUUACAGAAUGGGCUGAAGUUAAAGCUGUUAUGACUCAAUCAUCUUUACACUUCAUAGAUAAAGCUUCAUUUCCAGAGAAUGUUGUGCUUUACACAGAUGAGGAUGAAUUGUCUUCUUGGAAGAAGCCAAGCGAUGAAGUGCUGCACAUCGAGCUGCGAAAAUGGGCAGAUUGUAUGGUUAUAGCACCAUUGUCAGCAAAUACGCUAGCCAAGAUUGCAGGAGGAUUAUCCGACAACCUGCUGACAAACAUUGUAAGAGCUUGGGAUUACAGCAAACCUCUGUACAUUGCACCCGCCAUGAAUACUUUCAUGUGGAACAAUCCUUUUACGAAGAAUCAUCUUCAUUCAAUUUGUCAGCUUGGGAUAACCAUGAUUCCCCCUAUGACAAAGAGAUUGGCUUGUGGAGAUUAUGGAAAUGGUGCCAUGGCUGAGCCUUCUACCAUCUAUAAUACGGUAGUGCUCUCCUUAACUAAAGGUAGGAUUGUAAAUGAAUCAAGUCCAACGGAGUAAUUACUCUUACUCUUCUCGAGUUUAACUCAUGUUUGAAGAUUACCUGGGAUUAGAAUCUUGUUAUAAGUUUGUUUUUUAGUUUUCUUAUCCAGUUUGAGUUUCAAUAGAGCCUAGUUAAUUAUAAAUUGGGGCAUUUAAAUACAAACCACUUAAGAAGAGAAAAGGGAGGUGGAGGGAUGCGAGUUUUCUAUGGGAAGGUAGAAAGAGAGGAUAAACCGAACUCGGGAAGGAAGGACUUCGGCUUGCUGCUCUGUGUUGAAGAGGAGUCAAUUAUCGCACGCAACCACAAGAGCAGACAAGGAAAGGGACUUGUGUGCGGGAACACGAUUCUUAAACAAGGAGAAAAGGUAUGACAUAUGGAGCGAAGAGGAGUUAAAAUGGAGCGAAACAGAGCAUAUUGGAACCAGUAGUCUGGUGCUUAAGCGCCAAGGCCCUCCACCAAGCAUCUUGGCGCCAGCUUACUGGGAGCCUAGUCGCCAUAACCCAGUCGGGUAAAUUGAGAGGCCGACGCUUUUGCGCCAAGGCGCUGGCUAGUUUCUGGACAGUUUUCUGCAGUUACGUAGGCACGACUUGGGGAGCAUUGGAAAGCAUUCUGAAGCCUUGAAAAGUGAAGGAAGGCAGAGGUGUCGUAGUCUAAAGUUAGGGUUUUGUAUUUUUCACUUUCUUGGAGAGAAUUCUAUAAGGGGAUAUACUCAACAUUGCAAGGAGCUCUUGAAAACGUUUUAAG